UAUCCUUCCAAAGGAUACUGCGGGGAAAGAAGAGACUGCAUGGAAAGAGGAGAAAAAGUGUAGUUGUAUAUUGGAAAAGCCUGACAAAUACUACCUCAAUUGGGUGAUCAAGCCCUUAAUCUCAGAUCAGUCAUGAGAAAGACAUCAAACAAAUCCAAAUGGGGGACAUUCUGCGAAAUAACUCACCAGUACUCCUCAAAACUAUAAAGGUCAUCAAAAACAAGGAAACUCUGAGAAAUUGUCAUAGCCAAGAGGAGCCUGAGGAGAUAAUGACAACUAAAUGCAAUCUAGUAUACUGGAUGAGAUCCUGGAAUAGAAAAAGAACAUCAGCAAUGUGAACAAACCAAACUGUCAAACACUGAACCAGUGGAAAAUGAAUGUACUUCCAAAAUCAUUUCCCUGAUCCACUGCAAACAGCUUGAUCACAUUGGAGAAUGUGACCCAUGCAGUUGCUGAAGCGUGUUUUCCCACUAUACCUCAUGCAGAAAAAUCAAACUAAGAGUAAUCUUGAAAUGUCACUUCACAAACCAAACUGAAGAAACUGGAAGAGAUAAACUAGGAUUUCCCCUGGUGGGCCAUGCAGAGUGGCAGUGGGUACCUGGGAGAGCCCUAGAAACUUGGGGGGAGGGUCAAAGACCAGGACCUGGUGCUGAGCUUCAGGGAAUGAAUCUUCCUAGAGCAUUCCCACUGGUGAAUCAGGAUACCAUCUGCAUAUGUCAUCAAGUGGCUCGCUUCCCGCCUUUGCCAAAUAUAUUAGAUCUUUAUUGUUGCAGUAACAAAUCGCCAUACGCUGAGUGGAUUAAAGCAUCACAAAUUUAUUUUUACAGUUCUGGAGGUCAAAAGUCCAGUAAGGAUCUCACUAGAUUAACAUAGAUGUGUCAGCAGAGCUGUGUCUGCUUUUGGAGGUUAGCAUAGCAGGUGGAGUCUCUCUCAUAACAAGUUUCACUGACUCUUUUGUCACCAUACCUUUUUCUCUGACCACCUUUGGAAAAGGUCUCUGCUUUUAAGGAUUCGUGUGAUUAGAUGGGGCCCACCUGGCUAUUUCAGGAUAAUUUCCCCAUCUCAAGGUCUAUAACCUUAAUCAUAGCUGCAAAGUACCCUUGUUAUGUAAGAUAACAUUCACAGAUUUGGGGGGACAGGAAAUAGGUUUUUUAGGGGGUCAUUAUCCUGCCUACCACACCAAGUGAAGAAAGAGUAGGAUAAUCUUUAUCUUUCUGGCCUCCACCUUCCUGAUCUUAACCCGCGUUGACUGGAUCUGGGCCUACUACCAUACAUUCCAACAUAUUCUAACACUACCCCCUUCUUAUUGCUUAGUUUUAUUUAGCUCACUGGCUUGAAAACCAUACCAUCUAUGAUUUCCCUUAUUAUCCUCAACCAUAUCUAGGAUGUGGAAAAUGUAUAAGAAAUAAUGUGCUUUUUGUGUUAACUGUAAAAAUAUGUGUUAAUUCUCAGUAACAAUCUUGCAUCUACACAUCAGUUGUCUCUUGGGGUAGGGGCCUAAAUUUUUUUCCAAAAUGAAACAUACGCAUUAAAACAGCAGUAUGAGAUGGUCAUAAUAUACUUAACAAUGGCAACCAGUUUGGAUUCUUUGAAUAAAUAAAACUGAAUAGAUGGGUUUCUUUAGAUGAGGACCUUUAGGUCUCCCUAAAAGGAAGGAACUAAAAGGAACUCCCACCUUCCUUUUAGUCUGUGCCCUGUGUAGCGUCAGGAGGACAGAAGAUUAUUGUAUUGUGUUCUUAGGACCAAAUGAAUAAACAUCAUUUGCCUAUUAAAAAUUAUGGUAUUUUAUUUUUAAAGAACUGUGCUGGGGGUGCCUUGCUGGCUUAGUCAGAACAGCAUUGAUUCUUGAUGCCGGGGUCGUAAAUUCAAGCCUCAUGUUGGA